rnacentral:ncRNA from 1 species
UCCAUUGCGAAGUGGAAUCUGAAGGAAGUCGGACGCAAACACUCGCAUUGACGAACAGAAACAUCAUAAUAAGGCCAUAUAAAACGGAUGAGUCUGCUAAACAAGAUGAAGUCCAAUACUACCCGAAUUUUAUAUGGUAAAUGAUGCGAUGAGAUGAGUGGAAAGUGGUUGCA